AGCGAACGCUGGCGGCAGGCUUAACACAUGCAAGUCGAACGGGCGUAGCAAUACGUCAGUGGCAGACGGGUGAGUAACGCGUGGGAACGUACCUUUUGGUUCGGAACAACCCAGGGAAACUUGGGCUAAUACCGGAUAAGCCCUUACGGGGAAAGAUUUAUCGCCGAAAGAUCGGCCCGCGUCUGAUUAGCUAGUUGGUGUGGUAACGGCGCACCAAGGCGACGAUCAGUAGCUGGUCUGAGAGGAUGAUCAGCCACAUUGGGACUGAGACACGGCCCAAACUCCUACGGGAGGCAGCAGUGGGGAAUAUUGGACAAUGGGCGCAAGCCUGAUCCAGCCAUGCCGCGUGAGUGAUGAAGGCCCUAGGGUUGUAAAGCUCUUUUGUGCGGGAAGAUAAUGACGGUACCGCAAGAAUAAGCCCCGGCUAACUUCGUGCCAGCCGCCGCCGU
rnacentral:rRNA from 1 species